UACUCCUACGGGAGGCAGCAGUGGGGAAUAUUGCACAAUGGGCGCAAGCCUGAUGCAGCCAUGCCGCGUGUAUGAAGAAGGCCUUCGGGUUGUAAAGUACUUUCAGCGAGGAGGAAGGCAUUAAGGUUAAUAACCUUAGUGAUGACGUACUCGCAGAGAGCCCAUGAC
rnacentral:rRNA from 1 species